rnacentral:rRNA from 1 species
CGGGUGAGUAAUGUAUGGGGAUCUGCCUGAUGGCGGGGGAUAACUACUGGAAACGGUAGCUAAUACCGCAUAAUGUCUACGGACCAAAGCGGGGGACCUCCGGGCCUCGCGCCAUCAGAUGAACCCAUAUGGGAUUAGCUAGUAGGUGAGGUAACGGCUUACCUAGGCGACGAUCCCUAGCUGGUCUGAGAGGAUGAUCAGCCACACUGGGACUGAGACACGGUCCAG